UGCAAUGAUGGUGUAAUUUGCGUCUUACACUGUGACCAGUGACAGAAUGCCUGCUGUCAUAGGCUGGCACAGAUGGCUGACGAACAACGAGACUGAGCA